AGAAAAGUCAGCUAAAACACCUAAGCUAAUGGGUUCAUACCCCGUAAAUAGAGUAAACACUCUCUUCUCUG
rnacentral:tRNA from 1 species